UUUGAAGGCGCUGGGUAACACUGACUCAAAAAAGCCUCCUUUACAUAACAGCUACCAAGGAAAGGGCCGCCUUCUAGCUACCACCCCUUCACCCGCGUUCAUUCUCGUGUUUAAAGAUGCGGCCUUUUUCCCCUCCCCCUUCCAGAUGUGGACUAAGAGCUACAGGCUACCACUUUCCAUUUUGUGUGAUGCUGGAGAAGAAACCCAGGGCUUCCUGCAUGCUAGCAGCCUGAACAGCGCUUUCCAGCACCGUGAGAGCCAAUCAGUGGA